rnacentral:rRNA from 1 species
CCAGACUCCUACGGGAGGCAGCAGUGGGGGAUAUUGCACAAUGGGGGGAACCCUGAUGCAGCGACGCCGCGUGGGUGAAGGAGCGUUUCGGCGCGUAAAGCCCUAUCGGCAGGGAAGAAGGAGGACGGUACCUGACUAAGAAGCCCCGGCUAACUACGUGCCAGCAGCCGCGGGAAUACGUAGGGGGCAAGCGUUAUCCGGAUUUACUGGGUGUAAAGGGAGCGUAGACGGCAGUGCAAGUCUGAAGUGAAAGGCAAGGGCUCAACCCUUGGACUGCUUUGGAAACUGUGCUGCUGGAGUGUCGGAGAGGCAGGCGGAAUUCCUAGUGUAGCGGUGAAAUGCGUAGAUAUUAGGAGGAACACCAGUGGCGAAGGCGGCCUGCUGGACGACAACUGACGGUGAGGCGCGAAAGCGUGGGGAGCAAACAGGAUUAGAUACCCUUGUAA